AACGAACGCUGGCGGCAUGCCUAACACAUGCAAGUCGAACGAGACCUUCGGGUCUAGUGGCGCACGGGUGCGUAACGCGUGGGAACCUGCCCUUAGGUUCGGAAUAACUCCCCGAAAGGGGUGCUAAUACCGGAUAAUGUCUUCGGACCAAAGAUUUAUCGCCUUUGGAUGGGCCCGCGUUGGAUUAGCUAGUUGGUAGGGUAAAAGCCUACCAAGGCGACGAUCCAUAGCUGGUCUGAGAGGAUGAUCAACCACACUGGGACUGAGACACGGCCCAGACUCCUACGGGAGGCAGCAGUGGGGAAUAUUGGACAAUGGGCGAAAGCCUGAUCCAGCAAUGCCGCGUGAGUGAUGAAGGCCUUAGGGUUGUAAAGCUCUUUUACCCGGGAUGAUAAUGACAGUACCGGGAGAAUAAGCACCGGCUAACUCCGUG
rnacentral:rRNA from 1 species